AUCUGCAAAUAGAUCUCUGGCUAUUUUGGAAGAGCCAAUACAUCCACUUUCAGAAGAGAAGGCUCCAGGGAAAUCCUUUCAGCAUGAUCCCAAAUGCAACUGUAUUUUCAGAUAUUUCCGUACUCUUUUUCAAGUCAUGAAACUAACAGCUCCAUGUGCAAUCGUAGCUUUGGUGUACAUUGAACGACUUCUAAC